rnacentral:rRNA from 1 species
GAUGAACGCUAGCUACAGGCUUAACACAUGCAAGUCGAGGGGCAGCAUGGUCUUAGCUUGCUAAGGCCGAUGGCGACCGGCGCACGGGUGAGUAACACGUAUCCAACCUGCCGUCUACUCUUGGACAGCCUUCUGAAAGGAAGAUUAAUACAAGAUGGCAUCAUGAGUCCACAUGUUCACAUGAUUAAAGGUAUUCCGGUAGACGAUGGGGAUGCGUUCCAUUAGAUAGUAGGCGGGGUAACGGCCCACCUAGUCUUCGAUGGAUAGGGGUUCUGAGAGGAAGGUCCCCCACAUUGGAACUGAGACACGGUCCAAACUCCUACGGGAGGCAGCAGUGAGGAAUAUUGGUCAAUGGGCGAGAGCCUGAACCAGCCAAGUAGCGUGAAGGAUGACUGCCCUAUGGGUUGUAAACUUCUUUUAUAAAGGAAUAAAGUCGGGUAUGCAUACCCGUUUGCAUGUACUUUAUGAAUAAGGAUCGGCUAACUCCGUGCCAGCAGCCGCGAUAA